rnacentral:rRNA from 1 species
UACGUAGGGUGCUAACGUUGUUCGGAAUCACUGGGCAUAAAGAGCGCGUAGGCGGUCUAAUAAGUCCUGUGUGAAAUCCCCCGGCUUAACCGGGGAACUGCACAGGAUACUGUUGGGCUCGAGUGCAGGAGGGGAGAGCGGAAUUCCAGGUGGAGCGGUGAAAUGCGUAGAUAUCUGGAGGAACGCCGGUGGCGAAAGCGGCUCUCUGGUCUGUUACUGACGCUGAGGCGCGAAAGCUAGGGGAGCAAACGGG